GUAGGUGGCAAGCGUUGUCCGGAAUUAUUGGGCGUAAAGCGCGCGCAGGGCGGUCCUUUAAGUCUGAUGUGAAAGCCCACGGCUCAACCGUGGAGGGUCAUUGGAAACUGGGGGACUUGAGUACAGAAGAGGAAAGCGGAAUUCCAAGUGUAGCGGUGAAAUGCGUAGAGAUUUGGAGGAACACCAGUGGCGAAGGCGGCUUUCUGGUCUGUAACUGGCGCUGAGGCGCGAAAGCGUGGGGAGCAAACAGGAUUAGAUACCCUGGUAGUCCACGCCGUAAACGAUGAGUGCUAAGUGUUAGGGGGUUUCCGCCCCUUAGUGCUGCAGCUAACGCAUUAAGCACUCCGCCUGGGGAGUACGGCCGCAAGGCUG
rnacentral:rRNA from 1 species